CAAUGGUGAAUGUUAUGAAAGGUGUGUUUGUUGAAUGUGAUCCGGCUAUGAAACAAUUUCUUUUGCAUCUGGACGAAACGCUCGCAUUGGGACGCAAAUUCAUCAUUCAAGAUUUGGAUGAAAAUCAUCUGUUCAUUUCUACUGAUAUAGUGGAAACGUUGCAAGCACGUGUGGAUGAUUUAAUGGACCGCAUUAGUUUUCCGUUGCAUGAAAAAGAUCCUUAAAUUUACACAUACAAUUUACUCUAAAUAUUAAAAACAAGUCUUACUAUAAACGAAUCUACUUUACAAAGCAACAAUCAUGACCGGACGCGAGUCCAAUCGUAUAAAGGAUGCGGAGAAGAAACGUGUACUUGAUGAAGCUGCUCGACAACGGCGCGCACGCAAGGCGCUUGAAGCGCUCGAACAAGAUAAUUUUCACGAAGAUCCACAUGCAGAUUUGGUGAUGUCAAAGAAAUUGCCGAAAUUUCAAGAUGGUAUCAAAAACACUAAAGAAAAGAAGAGCAAACGUAAAGGUGCCGAAUACUAUAGGGCGAAGUAUCGUAAAAAUUUUCCACAGCUACUUGAAGAAUGUAGGCAGAAUUCUACGGAUGCACCAAACUAUUUGAAUGCUUUGGCACCCGCACCAAAUAAGCCUCCACGACGGUUUUGUGCUGUUUGUGGUAAUUUUUCCAAAUACACUUGCACUGCGUGUGGCACACACUACUGCUGCAUUCGUUGUCUGGGCACACAUCAGGAUACACGUUGCCUCAAAUGGACCGCUUGAAGCUUUCUUAAUUUAAUUGGAUUAUUAUUUUAGAGUUGUAAUGUAUGAUUUUAUGAUAUUACCAUGCGUUAUGACAAGUUGUGAGUGCCCUAAUAGUUACAUUGGUCUUUUAUAAUACGCUUUAAAGUAUAAUAUUGAACUAUUAAAUUAUAUGAAACCACAACCAAGUCUUCAAACAAAAAUAAAGAAAUUGAAAAUAUUAAUUUUA
rnacentral:misc_RNA from 1 species